CGGCCGUGCGUGACGUGACGUGACGUGACGUGACGUCCGCGCGAGGUGCAGUGAGUGUUUAUCCUGCGCUGCAGAGGUACUCUGCAUGCUGGCUCACUUUCUCACGGGUCUACUUGGCACAGGCGCAGGGGCCCGAGGCGUCAGGGGGCCUCACAUCUCAUCUGUUUCUGUUUAAAGUGCUUUGGCUGUCAUGUGAGUCCUUUUGACAUUUGCCUUGGAUUGGGUUGCCAUCUGUGAAUGAGAUGAGCUUUUUUCGCUGUGCUUCCCAUCUGAACCACACACAGUGCCGAGGAAUCAGAUUCUGCAGCAACAAGCUGUGGUUCAGAGUCACUGGAAUCUGGAUACUCAACCAAAGUCAGCACCAUCAUCAAACAUAGAUUCCUCUUUUUCAGAAACACCCACAUCCUCAUCUGCUGGCAAGUGUGUAGACCACCCCCUCUAUUGGAGAUGAGUCAGAAAGUGCAUGUGCAGAAGUGUCCCUCAUUUGUUGAUGUGUCAGUUCCCUCAUGUGCAAAAGAUCCCUCCCGUCCAUCAUCAGUUGUGUCAGCUGUGGCUGAUGCAUCAAUGUUUGCCUUUUGUGCCCUCCCUUUUCGUAAAUAGUUGGAAUCCAUUGUUUUGAGUUCAGGUUUGGUUACUGCAAUGUAAAAUUAAGCCUAGUUAGAUGCAAUUUGUAUUGAGAUUAGAGUAAAUUCACUUCCAAAAUGAACAAAUCACGUGUUAAAUCUGUAAAACGUACCUUUUUUGCUGUGACCCUCGUCUGUUUGCUUAUACCUUCUUGUCAAUUGUCAAAACCUGUAAAUACAAGUAUUGAAAGAAAUAAAAUCAACAAGGAAAGGGUGAAUGUCAAACUUUUAAUAGUGCAGAAAUACAGUUUCUGUAAUUUCAAGUGGAGACACUCAAGUUCAAGUGUGUUAACUCAAUUGUUUUUACCUGCAUACAAUAUUUUAAUAAAAUUUACUUUAACUCACUGAGGUCUAAAGACUUUUCUUGUAUUUUCCUCUUGCCUGGUCUCCUUGUGUACAAAUACAUACUGUACAAAUCCUCAACCCUGCAAGGUACAAUCAAGCAUUUUACAUAAUUUCUUUCAAAACCACCUGAGCUUUAAGA